rnacentral:rRNA from 1 species
UUAAGCAUAUCACUGAGCGCAGGAGAAGAAACUAACCAGGAUUUCCCUAGUAACGGCGAGCGAACCGGAAAGAGCCCAGCUUGAAAAUCGUGGCGCCCCGGCGCCUCGAGUUGUAGUCUGGAGAAGGUCCCUCUGCGGCGCGCCGGACCCAAGUUCCCUGGAAAGGGACGCCAUCGAGGGUGAGAGCCCCGCUGAUUCCGGAGUGCGCCGCUCCACGAGGACCUGUCUGCGAGUCGGGCUGUUUGGGAAUGCAGCCCUAAGCGGGUGGUAAAUUCCAUCCAAGGCUAAAUAUUGGCAAGAGACCGAUAGCGAACAAGUACCGCGAGGGAAAGAUGAAAAGGACUUUGAAAAGAGAGUUAAAAAGUGCUUGAAAUUGCUGGGAGGGAAGCGAAUGGAAGCUGCGGGUGCGCCCCGGCUGGAUGCGGAACGGCCGUGAAACGCUGGUCCGCCGCUCAGCGCGGGGCGCUGGUCAGCGUGGGCCAUCGCGGCGGGACAAGAGCGGGGAUUCGCUUCCCGCCGAUGCCGCCGCGGUGGCCGAGGAACGAAGCGCGCGCUCACUCGUGGGCGUGGGACCCGUCCCAACUGCGCGCUCGGGACGCUGGCGUAUUGAGCUCUUCAUCCGACCCGUCUUGAAACACGGACCAAGGAGUCUAACAUGUAUGCGAGCCGGUGGGCGGCAAACCCAUUGAGGCGCAAGUAACCUGACAGGUGGGACCCCGACCGCAAGGAAGGGAGCACCAUCGACCGACCGUGAUCUUCUGUGAAGGGUUCGAGUGGUGAGCAAAC